AGUUACCACCCUGAGCCUUCCAGCUCGGCCGCCUCCUCGGCCUGAAGACUCCCCGCCUCCUCCCGCCCCCUCCCCUUUUCCCAAAGAUCAGCGUUUUCUGGGAGAAACGCUCCGGAGUUGUUGAUGAAUGAGAAGAGGACUGGAAAGAUGGAUAGGAGAAAGCACCGCGGAUCUCCCUCUCACCCCAGGCUCGGGGCGCAGAAGAUGGAGAGAAGAUUCCACUCUCCCCGGAGCAGAUAGGGACGGUCGCGCCAGCCAAUCAGAGCGCGGCUCGGCGCCGGCGCUCCCGGCCGCCUGGGCCGCCGUGUCCUCCAGGCAAGCGAAGUUCCCGCAACUCGUCCGCCUCGAGGGUCCGCGUCUUUCUUGCGCCCGCGGCCCAGCGGAGGCCGAGGGAGCCGUCCAAACUUUAUUAAUCUCUCCUCCUUUCUUUCUCCCUCAGCCCAGUGCAUCUCAAAGCGCUGGAAUCUGUGGAGCAGGAAGCCUGGCAAUUCCAAGAUACGCGAUGAUCUUCAAACAUUCCCGGGAGCCAGUCCUGAGGCUCUGGCUUCAGGGCCUAGUUUCCAUUUAUGCCGCGUUUUUGAGAGUCUAAUACUGUGUCUGGCACAUGGUCCACGCAGGAUGGUCGCUUCCCCCUUGCUGAGAGUUUUGCCUUCAGCCUAUCUGGGCCGCUGGAAAAGAGGAGAAGAAUAAACAAGAGACAAGCAACUACUCCCCUACCGGCGUUCCGUCCUUGUCCUCACUGCCAAAUCCACUCCAAAGCCGAGGAUGGUGAGACUGUGAAGUUGCAAAGAAACACAGAGCCCACCCCCUUAAAGAAUUACGAUAUAUUUAAAGUUUGCCUCUUUCAGGUUUCUCUCCUUGGCUCCUGCCCCUUUCCCCUCCCGGCUCCUUGUCCUUGACUGAACCUCAUGGGACAGAGAACCUCCUGUCCCCCACGAGGCAAGGCGCGAACCCGCAGAGAUCUGGGGUGCCCUUUGGUUCCCUGCGCUGCCCUGGAGGCGUCCAUAGAGGCCUUUGCCGCCAAGGACAGCAAUUGUUUUAUUUUCGAUGGUUGCUCGCCAGGCCUGCGGGUCGCGGGCCCACCCAGCCGUCGAACUUUCCAGUCGUUAUCAGCGCUGCUCCUAACUUAAUGGAAUAAUGCAAAUUAUAGCCUGCCCAGCUGACACGUCCCUGCGAAUGCGCCGGGGCUGAGCUCUGGCCAGCCGCUCUCUCGACGUCCUGGACGGCCGGAGGGAAUGAAGCUCUGAAUUGUGACAAAAGUGGGGGGGGGGCACCCCAAAUUCUCAAAGCAAUGUUCUUUUUUUUUUCUUUUUUCUUAAGCAAUUGAGCCUUACCAAAUGUCGGGGCCGCACGGAAGCCUUGCAUAUUUUAAAGUGUAACCUGAGCCUUCGCGGUUUCAGCUUCACUUAAAACAUGCAAAUUCUUGAAAUUGAAAAAUCUGAAAAACUUCCGAAGAGUUCUAUCUGAAUAAAUCCAAAUCCAUUGGGAGUCGCUUUGAGGAGACAAAACGCACAGCGAUUUGGGGUGAGGGAUAUUUGUGGGGAGGCAGGACGUGCUGGAUUGGGUUUCCAGGGUCAAGGUGUCUCUGGGCCUUCGACGAUAGCCUUAGCGCAGAGCAGGGAAGUGGCACCGCUAGGCAGCAAGCUCAGUUGCUCUACUUUUGUGACCCAUCCCCCCACCCCCCCCACCGCCACCCUUGCCUCCGGGCCACUGCCCCUCUCUGCAAGCUUUGUCCGCUGGACUCCGUUGCCCUUGCGCGGCCGCCCCAUCACUCACGCUUGACUGGAGGAAAUAAAAUUGGCGUUGGCUUUUUAA
rnacentral:lncRNA from 1 species